rnacentral:lncRNA from 1 species
GAAGCUCGGAUGGAGACUUCUUAUUGUAGAAGUCCCGCUGCUGGAGAAGCUCGGUCAUUGACGAAGUCCGAAAGAAGUUCGGAAUAGAAAUCCGACUGGUGGAGCCCAUCCGUUGUAGAAGUUCGUCUAGGAUCCAUCCACUAUAGAAGUUCGGAUGGAGUCCGGCUCUUGUAGGAGCUCGGAUGAAGUCCACUUGCAAUAGAAGUUCGGAGUAGAGUCGAUCGUGGCUGGAAGAAGUCUGGAAGAGAUUCAGAGAAUAGUCGAUCACUGUAAAAAAUUGGCUGAUAGUGAAGCUCAGAAAGCAUUUGGAGCAGCCCAGUAGAUGAAUGGAGGAGCUCAUUAUCGGAGAAGUCUGAAUGGUAUUAUGCAAGCUCGGACGGUUGGGGGAGUUCAGAAAGAUGCCACACAAGGUCGGAAGCUGGAAGAGCCCUGG